AUGUGUAGAAAAGAAAAGUUGUCAGAAUGUCCUGAAAAUCCAUGGAGGGACUUUUUGGAAAAUAUAAAAAAUAUUGGUGAAAGAAUCAAGACUAGGGGGCCCACACCCUGUCCACGAGACAGGGGGCGCCCCCUCCCCUGGGCGCGCCCCCCUAUCUUGUGGGCCCCCUGGACCUCAACUCCAACUCCAUAUGUUCAUGUUCGGGGAGAAAAAAUCAGAGAGAAAGUUUCAUCGCGUUUUACGACACGGAGCCGCCGCCAAGCCCUAAUCUCUCUCAGGAGGGCUGAUCUGGAGUCUGUUCGGGGCUCCGGAGAGGGGGGUUCGUCGUCGUCAUCAUCAUCAACCAUCCUUCAUCACCAAUUUCAUGAUGCUCACCGCCCUGCGUGA
rnacentral:rRNA from 1 species